AUUGGGAGUCCCAUAGGGUGGUGCACAGUUGUCUGGGUUUGGCCGGGGUAGACCGUCAUUGUAAAUAAGAAUUUGUUUGUAACUUGCCUAGAUAAAGGUUACACAUCCUUCCACCAUAUUUCUUGCACCAGUCUAGGUGCUUAUCCUUCAAAUUCAAGUCACAUUAGGAUUGUUUUAUAAUUAAACCUAACCAAACCUUUAUCCUGGCUACGGAGUUGUAUGGAUUCCUCUAGUGUCUAUCCAGUUCUAUGGUCCGGGCCCAGAACUGUACGUAUUACUGCCCCCUAGUGGCAAGAAGUGACUUCCCAAAACAAACAAAAAACUAUAGGCACAUAAUGGCUCCUAAAGCUAAAUAAAUCAUAUAAAAACAAAAUAGAAAUGUUUUUAUCAAACUGAAACUAAAUCAAAAAUGAGCAAAUCAAGUCUGAACUAACUGAAACUAAACUGAAUUUCCAAUAAAAAUGUAAAAAUGAAUAGAAACAAAUAUUAAAUCACAAACCUAUAAUAACCUUCACACACACACACACACAUACACCAAACUUAAGUGGGGCUUCUCAAUCCAAUCUCCAGAGACUGCUGGACACUUCAACCCUCUUCCCUAUCCUGUUCUUACGUUCUCUGUGUGACACUUUUGAUGUUAUUGUUAUAUUUUAAGUGACCAUGUAACAUGUCUGAUAUUGUUUAUACAGUGUUGUAGUUCAAGACCUCCACCCCUCCUGUGGGAUGGUCCGAAUAAAGACAUUCUGAAUGAAACCAGAUUCUCUUUGUUUGGUCACCCACACCACCAGGAAGCCCAUCCCACUGAGUCUGAGGUCAUGAGAUGUUUCACCCAGUAGGAAGUCUGAUUUAUCAUAACAUCCUGUUUGUGAAGUUGUUCUACAACGAGGCAGGCACAGACACAGUCAACUGCUUUGAAGGGGAACUGAUUGUAAGUUACCUUCUAAAAUAAACCUUUAGCUCGAUGAUCUGUUAGACUGUAAAACAUCUGUAUGUAUGUAGGACUCAAGCGCUAAGGAAGAACUGAGAGAAGAACAGUAGAACAAGAAUGAGAAAGAAGAGACGAUGAUUCUGGUUAAGUAUUUCUCCCAGUAGCCUGCUGGGAAAAAAAUAUAUUGGUAAGGAGAGGAGGGGAGCGAGAACAAGGGAGAGAAACAAAGAAAUAAGACCGGAAGAGAAGAGAGACCAGACUCACAUUUCUUGCUUUGUUCUCUGGUUGUCUGACCCUAUCUGUGCUCCUCUCCCUGCCACAGCCGGAGCUCUCUGUCAUGGGAAAGGCGAAGGCCAAUGCUGGGCUCCUGGCCCGGAGGCCUGGCAACUCGGCUUUCAAACAUCAGAGACUGCCUCUCUGGUCCCCAAUACUCACACCGUCCUGCCUUCCUUUUAUUGUAUGGCCACUAUACGUGUGAAACUGGGAGUGUGCCUACUUGCCACCGUGCAGAAUACACAUGAACUGAAGGUGGACUACACACACACAGGGUCAUGUGAUAAGUUUUUUGAGACCACAAGCUGUUGAACCAAAUCUAAGUGCUUUUAGAGAAGCACAGUGAUUAUGUUUCCUAUUUCCUGUCCCUGAGAGAUGUGUUCUUCUACUUUGGGCUGAUCAACUUCCACCAGAACAUACAUGGACUCCAGGGAUGAUGGACAGAUGGUCGGGAGAAAAUAAAAACCUGAAGACUCCUUCACUCUGACGUACUACUCAGGAGAGGGGGGGUCCAGUGGUCCAUGUUCAUCUGUUCAGGAAGGGCAUCCCCUGGUACACCGACAAGAACGUCAAGUGCCGCAACCCACCGGAUGAGAACAAGACACGAACGUUAGCACGUGAUUGAAGGCACGGCCCGGCCUCUGUACUGGUAGAAGCCCGUGUUUGACCUGGACCCCUGGGACCACAACAACGGCUUCAUCAACGAGGACUUGAUAGUGUGGAUGAGGGAGGCUGCCUUCCCCAACUUCAAGGAGCUCUACGGGGUCCCGAGCUAGGGAACCCUUCACUGAAGGGCUGCCGACUGGGAACUACUGCAUCCAUAUCUCCUACAGUAGCCAUUAUUACUCAUCUGCUUAUUAAUGCUUUAUUCUACCAGAUUGAUCAUUUUGAGAUUUAAAUCAAUUUAAUUAAAACGAUUUCUAAUUGGCAGAUUACUAUUUCCGACCUUGAGGCAGAUUGGGGUUAGCUAGUUUCUCAUUGGGUGGAAGUGAAACAGUAGGUUGUGGCUUGAAAAGUUGAAUUUGUUUAUUUGGUCAGUUAUAAAAACAAUGUGGGCCACAGCACACGAAGCCCCCCGUUAGACAGCAGUGGAUUCCUUGGGCAGAAAGGAAGUGGUACUGUCCAGUCAGCUGGUUCGGGAGUCAGAACAACUUCCUGCCCGUAGCCUACCUGAUCACUGGCUGUCUCAUCCUGCUCCUCGCUGUUAUCCUCACCGGCAUUUGGUGGAAGUUUGGUAAGAACAGACAGAAUAUGGGAGUGAUGUAAAAGGACCAAUGUGAAAAGGGGUGAGGAAGAAAAUAAAUAUUGAGUGAAUCAUAAGAAAGAGAA